UACGGAGGAUGCAAGCGUUAUCCGGAAUGAUUGGGCGUAAAGCGCGUGUAGGCGGCUCGGUAAGUCUGCUGUGAAAGUCCAGGGCUCAACCCUGGGAUGCCGGUGGAUACUGUCGAGCUCGAGUCCGGAAGAGGCGAGUGGAAUUCCUGGUGUAGCGGUGAAAUGCGCAGAUAUCAGGAGGAACACCGAUGGCGAAGGCAGCUCGCUGGGACGUGACUGACGCUGAGACGCGAAAGCGUGGGGAGCAAACAGG
rnacentral:rRNA from 1 species